UACGUAGGUGGCAAGCGUUGUUCGGAAUUAUUGGGCGUAAAGGGCGCGUAGGCGGUUUGUUAAGUCGGCUGUGAAAGCCCGGGGCUCAACCCCGGAGGGUCAGCCGAUACUGGCAGACUAGAGUACGGAAGAGGUAGCUGGAAUUCCCGGUGUAGCGGUGAAAUGCGCAGAUAUCAGGAGGAACACCGGUGGCGAAGGCGGGUCUCUGGGCAGUAACUGACGCUGAGGAGCGAAAGCGUGGGGAGCGAACAGG
rnacentral:rRNA from 1 species